AUGCAGGGGAUAUACUGGAAGAUUUUGAGGCCCUAGAAGAUGGAAGAGCCACCAAAGCUGGAAAGUGGUUUGGUCUCUUCUACAUUUAUUGCUGUGCCAGGUCUGCAGCCAGAGGAAAAGCCUGCAGUGAACGAAACAAGAUUCUUUUUUAAAAACUGCAUUAGAGCUAUCUCUGGAACCACACAAUGAAGAUAACAGGAACUCCAUCAGCCUGGGAUCUUGAAUGACUGCGUGGAGCAGAGUUUUAUUUCCACCCUAUCAACAACUUGCCUCACCCCAACCAUUAAUGAUUGAACUUUAGAUGAGCAAGAAAUAUGCUUCUAUUUUGCAUGCCACUGAUAUUUUGGAAUUUAUUAGUUCUACAGCAGAUACUACUAAUGUCACCAGUGCAAUUGAGCUAUGCUAUUUCCUUCAAAACAAACCACCAC